rnacentral:rRNA from 1 species
AACCUCCGCAAUGCGAGCAAUCGCGACGGGGGGACCCCAAGUGCCACUUUAGCGGGGUGGCUUUUAUGAAGUGCUUCAAGAUAAGAGCUGGCAAGACCGGUGCCAGCCGCCGCGGUAACACCGGCAGCUCUAGUGGUAGCCAUUUUUAUUGGGCCUAAAGCGUUCGUAGCCGGUUUGAUAAGUCUCUGGUGAAAUCCUAUAGCUUAACUGUGGGACUGCUGGAGAUACUAUUAGACUUGAGGUCGGAGAGGUUAGCGGUACUCCCAGGGUAGGGGUGAAAUCCUGUAAUCCUGGGAGACCACCUGUGGCGAAGGCGGCUAACUGGAACGACCUGACGGUGAGGGACGAAAGCCGGGGGCACGAACCGGAUUAGAUACCCGGGUAGUCCCAGCUGUAACGAUGCAGACUCGGUGAUGGG